rnacentral:lncRNA from 1 species
UAUAACUCAAGGCAAUAAUGUUAGAAUAAGAUUAAUGAGCAUAGAUCAGAGCCAAUUAAGAUAAUUUCAGAGCAGAACAUAUCGAAUGUGAUUCCAAAGAUAGUUUUCAAAUCAAGUGUAGGUGGAAUCUUUCUUAAGUUAAUUCAAGAAGUACCACGAAUGAUAUUCAAAGAAAGCACGAAUGGAAAUCUAACCUCUCUUCAAUAAUAAGUAUGAAAGCUUGUUCAUUUAAGAUCUUUUGCCCAAUAUAUUAAGUAUUUUAUCAG